UACGGAGGGUGCGAGCGUUGUCCGGAAUCAUUGGGCGUAAAGGGCGCGUAGGUGGCCCGGUCAGUUCGUGGUGAAAGCGCGGGGCUCAACCCUGCGUCGGCCAUGAAUACUGCCGCGGCUGGAGCACUGUAGAGGCAGGCGGAAUUCCGGGUGUAGCGGUGGAAUGCGUAGAGAUCCGGAAGAACACCGGUGGCGAAGGCGGCCUGCUGGGCAGUUGCUGACACUGAGGCGCGGACACGUGGGAGCCAACAGGG
rnacentral:rRNA from 1 species